UUGGGCCUGAAUCAAGGCCAGCAAUUUGCUGAAGCUGUUGAUUUCAAGCAGGAGCCUAAAGAAUUGUCUUUCUCUGGUCUGUUGGCAAUUUCAGAACUUUGGAGAUGUAAUGGUCAAUUCAUUAGAAAGAAACGUCU
rnacentral:snoRNA from 1 species